GAUAAACCUGAAACUUGAACUUUGUCGGUGUUGUGUUGAUCAGAGUCAAGACUGAAACAGAAAGUCUUUUAACUGCUGACCGUGUUUAUUAAAUGUGUUCACUGUACUCUGGAAUUGUGACCUUGUACAUUUAUUUAUUUCACAGACUUUAUCUUCAUUUAUGGACAGACAUGUCAUACAGAAACUGUCACACUUUUGUCACUUUGUUUUAUGUCUCAUAAUCCCACCUACAGAAUGAGCAGAUAAGAAAGGAAUGUGGUUGCUAAGGAGGUGUUGCUAUGGACACUGCUGUCACGCAGGUGCAGGGUGUGGGCUGUAGAAAACAGGAUGACACGGAAAUACAGGUUAGUUUGGUUUGUGGCUGUGACGGCACUUUACACACAGAUUUUACUUUUUAUUUUUCUCCUUAUUUUUGUAACUUUUUACUUGUUUUUCAUCAAACCUCCUCCAGUAACCUUUGAUUUACAGGAAAGCAAUCGGGUAUACCAAAGCUACACUUUCCAGAUUUUAGUGGAUUUUAUAUUUUUGUUUUUGAUUUUUUAUCAUAAUGGUCAGACGACUCUUUGAGGAUUUUGGAGAUCUCUUCAGAACAACAGUAACAAUGUACUGAGAGACUCCUGCACUGAUGUUUCAUAGGAAAGUCCAAACAGCCUCACUGGUUCUCCAUAAAGAACAAAGAUUUGCUCUCUGUGGCUCCAACACAACUUAAAGACAAUCAAAGGUGGACAAAGUUCUCCAGAACAGCUGUGGUUUUAUGGAGGCUACAGCUAAAUGCUGCCUCUACUACUUUUUAGUAGAGUCAACACUUAUUUUGACAUCACUUCCUUAUGAGAAAAAAUCGUGGGUCAGAGCUGAGGAGUUCCAGGCUGGUUUACACAUAACAAUGUUUCCCUGAGAAUCAUUUUCAUAUUGAGUCAGUAGUUCUGUCUGUGACGGCCACACAAGGAUGUAACAUGUUGGUGUAAUCCAGACAGAGAAGUGUAAUGUGUGUGUCAGUGUGAUGUGUUGUAGUGUCAGGAGUCAGUAUGCAGCUACAAAGCUUUUAGUUCAGUGUAUACAAACAGCUGUAGCUCCAUAAAGGCAGCAUGCAGAGACUCACAGUGUCUUAUAAUGAGAGGCUGCUUUCUCUC
ensembl:lncRNA